ACGAAAAGAAAAAUAAUCGCGUUCAGCGCGUUUGGCUUGCUCUGCCGGCUGCGAUUUUUGUUUUGGUGUCCCGCAAUGACAGCAGCAGCCGCCUCCUUGUCAUCCCGCAGCAAAUGCGGGGUGAAAAAAGAAAAUGUUUCUUUUUGUGGGAAAUUAAAAAAAUUUAACCCGCGUAAUGAUCGCACCCCUGGAUUUGUAUCAAUUUUCUGGACAAAAAAGCGUGAUCAUUACGCGAGUAAAUACGGUGUUCAAUUAUACUGAAAUAUGACUAGUUCCUCAGAUAACUUCCAUGUAACAACGCUGGACCUUAUCAUUCGUGCAUUGUAAUUAGUGACAAGUCUUCACAUAUGCCUGCUACAGUUUUUGCGGGAAGGCUUUCAUGCCUAAUGUUUGUUUUGGAGAACACACCAUUUUGUACCGUUUGAUGAUUUACUGUACAACACAUUUACGGUAAACACGUUCAUUCGACUUCCAUGGAUGCGUGGUAAACUCAUGUUGACAUAUCGCCAGAGUUUGCACCCACAAGCAGCAGCUUGAUGACAAGGCUCUACUUCCACUCACCUUUGCGCAUUUCUACUUCCCCAUUACAUAGUGAGUGGAAGCACGGCCUUGCCAUCGAGCUUCUGCUUGUGUGCAUGAACUGUGGUAACACUUCCAACCACUAGCGAGGCUUUUCCCACCUUCAAGCUCACAAUGGUGAAUAUUAUUACGUCAAGUGGUAGGUCUAUGCUGUUGGAACAUUGUAUUAUGCUCGCUUUUUGUUCAUUUGCAGACUCCUUCAAGUGAAAAAGUCCACCUUUUUGUUCAUUUGCAGACUCCUGCGAGUGAAAAAGUCCACCGGAGGAUACACAGAAAAGGCACAAAUGCCUGCAGCAAUACCUGGCGCAGAAGUGUGCUGACCUGCGCCGCUGAGCUCCUUUGAAUGAACCACUGGGAGACAGGGGGCAGCUGAUGGCAGUGCGACCUGCUGCCAGCGGCGUGGCCAGAUAUAUUAGGUUCAUUAAUAAAUUACUUUUCACUGUACA